GUGGGGAAUAUUGGACAAUGGGCGCAAGCCUGAUCCAGCCAUGCCGCGUGUGUGAAGAAGGCCUUCGGGUUGUAAAGCACUUUUGUACGGGAAGAAAAGCACCCGGUUAAUACCCGGGUGUCAUGACGGUACCGUAAGAAUAAGCACCGGCUAACUUCGUGCCAGCAGCCGCGGUAAUACGAAGGGUGCAAGCGUUACUCGGAAUUACUGGGCGUAAGGCGUGCGUAGGUGGUUUGUUAAGUCUGAUGUGAAAGCCCUGGGCUCAACCUGGGAAUUGCAUUGGAUACUGGCAGUCUAGAGUGCGGUAGAGGGUAGCGGAAUUCCCGGUGUAGCAGUGAAAUGCGUAGAUAUCGGGAGGAACAUCCGUGGCGAAGGCGGCUACCUGGACCAGCACUGACACUGAGGCACGAAAGCGUGGGGAGCAAACAGGAUUAGAUACCCUGGUAGUCCACGCCCUAAACGAUGCGAACUGGAUGUUGGGGGCAAUUGAGCCUUCAGUAUCGAAGCUAACGCGUUAAGUUCGCCGCCUGGGAAGUACGGUCGCAAGACUGAAACUCAAAGGAAUUGACGGGGGCCCGC
rnacentral:rRNA from 1 species